CCUACGGGAGGCAGCAGUGAGGAAUAUUGGUCAAUGGGCGUAAGCCUGAACCAGCCAAGUCGCGUGAGGGAUGAAGGUUCUAUGGAUCGUAAACCUCUUUUCUAAGGGAAUAAAGUGUGGGACGUGUCCUGUUUUGUAUGUACCUUAUGAAUAAGGAUCGGCUAACUCCGUGCCAGCAGCCGCGGUAAUACGGAGGAUCCGAGCGUUAUCCGGAUUUAUUGGGUUUAAAGGGUGUGUAGGCUGCGUUUUAAGUCAGCGGUGAAAGUCUGUGGCUCAACCAUAGAAUUGCCGUUGAAACUGGGAGGCUUGAGUAUGUGUGAGGCAGGCGGAAUGCGUGGUGUAGCGGUGAAAUGCUUAGAUAUCACGCAGAACCCCGAUUGCGAAGGCAGCCUGCCAAGCCAUGACUGACGCUGAUGCACGAAAGCGUGGGGAUCAAACAGGAUUAGAUACCCGAGUAGUC
rnacentral:rRNA from 1 species